rnacentral:rRNA from 1 species
UGGCUCAGAUUGAACGCUGGCGGCAUGCUUUACACAUGCAAGUCGAACGGUAACAGGUCUUCGGAUGCUGACAGUGGCGAACGGGUGAGUAAUACAUCGGAACGUGCCUAGUAGUGGGGGAUAACUACUCGAAAGAGUAGCUAAUACCGCAUGAGAUCUACGGAUGAAAGCAGGGGACCUUCGGGCCUUGUGCUACUAGAGCGGCUGAUGGCAGAAUUAGGUAGUGUGGGGUAAAGGCUUACCAAGCCUGCGAUCUGUAGCUUGGUCUGAGAGGACGACCAGCCACACUGGGACUGAGACACGGCCCAGACUCCUACGGGAGGCAGCAGUGGGGAAUUUUGGACAAUGGGCGAAAGCCUGAUCCAGCAAUGCCGCGUGCAGGAUGAAGGCCCUCGGGUUGUAAACUGCUUUUGUACGGAACGAAAAGCCUGGGGCAAUAUCCCCGGGUCAUGACGGUACCGUAAGAAUAGCACCGGCUAACUACGUGCCAGCAGCCGCGGUAAUACGUAGGGUGCAAGCGUUAAUCGGAAUUACUGGGCGUAAAGCGUGCGCAGGCGGUUUUGUAAGACAGUGGUGAAAUCCCCGGGCUCAACCUGGGAACUGCUCAUUGUGACUUGCAAGGCUAGAGUGCGGCAGAGGGGGAUGGAAUUCCGCGUGUAGCUGAAAUGCGUAGAUAUGCGGAGGAACACCGAUGGCGAAGGCAAUCCCCUGGGCCUGCACUGACGCUCAUGCACGAAAGCGUGGGGAGCAAAAGGAUUAGAUACCCUGGUAAGUCCACGCCCUAAACGAUGUCACUGGUUGUUGGGUCUUAACUGACUCAGUAACGAAGCUAACGCGUGAAGUUGACCGCCUGGGGAGUACGGCCGCAAGGUUGAAACUCAAAGGAAUUGACGGGGAUCCCGCACAAGCGGUGGAUGAUGUGGUUUAAUUCGAUGCAACGCGAAAACCUUACCCACCUUUGACAUGGCAGGAACUUACCAGAGAUGGUUUGGUGCUCGAAAGGAACCUGCACACAGGUGCUGCAUGGCUGUCGUCAGCUCGUGUCGUGAGAUGUUGGGUUAAGUCCCGCAAGAGCGCAACCCUUGCCAUUAGUUGCUACAUUCAGUUGAGCACUCUAAAUGGGACUGCCGGUGACAAACCGGAGGAAGGUGGGGAUGACGUCAAGUCCUCAUUGGCCCUUAUAGGUGGGGCUACACACGUCAUAAAUGGCUGGUACAAAGGGUUGCCAACCGCGAGGGGGAGCUAAUCCCAUAAAGCCAGUCGUAGUCCGGAUCGCAGUCUGCAAACUCGACUGCGUGAAGUCGGAAUCGCUAGUAAUCGUUGGAUCAGAAUGUCACGGUGAAUACGUUCGGGUCUUGUACACACCGCCCGUCACACCAUGGGGAGCGGGUCUCGCCAGAAUAGGUAGCCUUAACCGUAAGGAGGGCGCUUACCACGGCCGGGGUUCGUGACUGGGGGUGAUAGUCGUAACAAGUAGCCGUAUCG